CGGUCCAGACUCCUACGGGAGGCAGCAGUGGGGAAUAUUGCACAAUGGGCGCAAGCCUGAUGCAGCCAUGCCGCGUGUAUGAAGAAGGCCUUCGGGUUGUAAAGUACUUUCAGCGGGGAGGAAGGCGAUAAGGUUAAUAACCUUGUCGAUUGACGUUACCCGCAGAAGAAGCACCGGCUAACUCCGUGCCAGCAGCCGCGGUAAUACGGAGGGUGCAAGCGUUAAUCGGAAUUACUGGGCGUAAAGCGCACGCAGGC
rnacentral:rRNA from 1 species